rnacentral:rRNA from 1 species
UCGGGUUGUAAAGCACUUUUGUCCGGAAAGAAAACCUUUGGGCUAAUACCCUGAGGGGAUGACGGUACCGGAAGAAUAAGCACCGGCUAACUACGUGCCAGCAGCGCGGUAAUCGUAGGGUGCGAGCGUUAAUCGGAAUUACUGGGCGUAAAGCGUGCGCAGGCGGUUCGUUAAGACAGAUGUGAAAUCCCCGGGCUUAACCUGGGAACUGCAUUUGUGACUGGCGAGCUAGAGUAUGGCAGAGGGGGGUAGAAUUCCACGUGUAGCAGUGAAAUGCGUAGAGAUGUGGAGGAAUACCGAUGGCGAAGGCAGCCCCCUGGGCCAAUACUGACGCUCAUGCACGAAAGCGUGGGGAGCAAACAGGAUUAGAUACCCUGGUAGUCCACGCCCUAAACGAUGUCAACUAGUUGUUGGGUCUUCAUUGACUUAGUAACGUAGCUAACGCGUGAAGUUGACCGCCUGGGGAGUACGGUCGCAAGAUUAAAACUCAAAGGAAUUGACGGGGACCCGCACAAGCGGUGGAUGAUGUGGAUUAAUUCGAUGCAACGCGAAAAACCUUACCUACCCUUGACAUGGUCGGAACCCUGCUG